rnacentral:rRNA from 1 species
UACGGGGGGGCAAGCGUUGUUCGGAAUUACUGGGCGUAAAGGGCUCGUAGGCGGCCAACUAAGUCCGACGUGAAAUCCCCAGGCUUAACCUGGGAACUGCGUCGGAUACUGGAUGGCUUGAAUCCGGGAGAGGAUGCGGAAUUCCAGGUGUAGCGGUGAAAUGCGUAGAUAUCUGGAGGAACACCGGUGGCGAAGGCGGCAUCCUGGACCGGCAUUGACGCUGAGGAGCGAAAGCCAGGGAGCAAACGGG